ACCCUCUGCCAAGGGAACGGGCUUGGCGGAUUCACGGGGAAAAGAAGACCCGUUUGAGCUGACUUUAGUCUGGCC
rnacentral:miRNA from 1 species